rnacentral:lncRNA from 1 species
GGUGGGGGUGGAGAGUGGUAGUAGUAUGGUUUCUUAGGUGGUGAGUACACUGGUGGUGGUGGUGAAGAGUAAUGGUAAGGUGGUUUAACUGGAGGGUACACCCCCGGUGGUGGGGAAUGUGGAGGGUACACCUUAGGUGGUGGUGGAGAACUAUAAUGGUAAGGUGGUGAGACUGGUGGAUACACCUCAGGUGGUGGUGAAUGUGGAGGGUAUUUCUUAGGUGGUGGUGGGGAAGAGUAAUGGUAAGGUGGUUUAACUGGUGGGUACACCUUGGGUGGUGGUGAAUGUGGAGGGUACACCUUAGGAGGUGGUGGUGAAGAGUAAUGGUAAGGUGGUGAAACUGGAGGAUACACCUUAGGUGGUGGUGAAUGAGGAGGAUACUUCUUAGGUGGUGGUGGUGAAGAGUAAUGGUAAGGUGGUGAAACUGGAGGGUACACCUUAGGUGGUGGUGAAUGUGGAGGGUACACCUUAGGUGGUGGUGGUGAAGGGUAGUGGUAAGGUGGGGAAACUGGAGGGUAGACCUUAGAAGGUGGAGGAGGUGAAGAAUACAAGUAGCUGUUUGCUGAAAUUUGAGAUGUAUGGAGAGAGACACUAUUAUGGCUAAUAGAAGAGUCAAAGUGGCAGAGGCCAUUGGAGACCUCAUUUUUUUUUUUUU